rnacentral:rRNA from 1 species
UUAAGCGACUAAGCGUACACGGUGGAUGCCCUGGCAGUCAGAGGCGAUGAAGGACGUGUUAAUCUGCGAUAAGCGUCGGUAAGGUGAUAUGAACCGUUAUAACCGGCGAUUUCCGAAUGGGGAAACCCAGUGUGAUUCGUCACACUAUCAUUAACUGAAUCCAUAGGUUAAUGAGGCGAACCGGGGGAACUGAAACAUCUAAGUACCCCGAGGAAAAGAAAUCAACCGAGAUUCCCCCAGUAGCGGCGAGCGAACGGGGAGCAGCCCAGAGCCUGAAUCAGUGUGUGUGUUAGUGGAAGCGUCUGGAAAGGCGUGCGAUACAGGGUGACAGCCCCGUACACAAAAAUGCACAUAUUGUGAGCUCGAUGAGUAGGGCGGGACACGUGGUAUCCUGUCUGAAUAUGGGGGGACCAUCCUCCAAGGCUAAAUACUCCUGACUGACCGAUAGUGAACCAGUACCGUGAGGGAAAGGCGAAAAGAACCCCGGCGAGGGGAGUGAAAAAGAACCUGAAACCGUGUACGUACAAGCAGUGGGAGCACGCUUAGGCGUGUGACUGCGUACCUUUUGUAUAAUGGGUCAGCGACUUAUAUUCUGUAGCAAGGUUAACCGAAUAGGGGAGCCGAAGGGAAACCGAGUCUUAACUGGGCGUUAAGUUGCAGGGUAUAGACCCGAAACCCGGUGAUCUAGCCAUGGGCAGGUUGAAGGUUGGGUAACACUAACUGGAGGACCGAACCGACUAAUGUUGAAAAAUUAGCGGAUGACUUGUGGCUGGGGGUGAAAGGCCAAUCAAACCGGGAGAUAGCUGGUUCUCCCCGAAAGCUAUUUAGGUAGCGCCUCGUGAAUUCAUCUCCGGGGGUAGAGCACUGUUUCGGCAAGGGGGUCAUCCCGACUUACCAACCCGAUGCAAACUGCGAAUACCGGAGAAUGUUAUCACGGGAGACACACGGCGGGUGCUAACGUCCGUCGUGAAGAGGGAAACAACCCAGACCGCCAGCUAAGGUCCCAAAGUCAUGGUUAAGUGGGAAACGAUGUGGGAAGGCCCAGACAGCCAGGAUGUUGGCUUAGAAGCAGCCAUCAUUUAAAGAAAGCGUAAUAGCUCACUGGUCGAGUCGGCCUGCGCGGAAGAUGUAACGGGGCUAAACCAUGCACCGAAGCUGCGGCAGCGACACUAUGUGUUGUUGGGUAGGGGAGCGUUCUGUAAGCCUGUGAAGGUGUACUGUGAGGUAUGCUGGAGGUAUCAGAAGUGCGAAUGCUGACAUAAGUAACGAUAAAGCGGGUGAAAAGCCCGCUCGCCGGAAGACCAAGGGUUCCUGUCCAACGUUAAUCGGGGCAGGGUGAGUCGACCCCUAAGGCGAGGCCGAAAGGCGUAGUCGAUGGGAAACAGGUUAAUAUUCCUGUACUUGGUGUUACUGCGAAGGGGGGACGGAGAAGGCUAUGUUGGCCGGGCGACGGUUGUCCCGGUUUAAGCGUGUAGGCUGGUUUUCCAGGCAAAUCCGGAAAAUCAAGGCUGAGGCGUGAUGACGAGGCACUACGGUGCUGAAGCAACAAAUGCCCUGCUUCCAGGAAAAGCCUCUAAGCAUCAGGUAACAUCAAAUCGUACCCCAAACCGACACAGGUGGUCAGGUAGAGAAUACCAAGGCGCUUGAGAGAACUCGGGUGAAGGAACUAGGCAAAAUGGUGCCGUAACUUCGGGAGAAGGCACGCUGAUACGUAGGUGAAGUCCCUCGCGGAUGGAGCUGAAAUCAGUCGAAGAUACCAGCUGGCUGCAACUGUUUAUUAAAAACACAGCACUGUGCAAACACGAAAGUGGACGUAUACGGUGUGACGCCUGCCCGGUGCCGGAAGGUUAAUUGAUGGGGUUAGCGCAAGCGAAGCUCUUGAUCGAAGCCCCGGUAAACGGCGGCCGUAACUAUAACGGUCCUAAGGUAGCGAAAUUCCUUGUCGGGUAAGUUCCGACCUGCACGAAUGGCGUAAUGAUGGCCAGGCUGUCUCCACCCGAGACUCAGUGAAAUUGAACUCGCUGUGAAGAUGCAGUGUACCCGCGGCAAGACGGAAAGACCCCGUGAACCUUUACUAUAGCUUGACACUGAACAUUGAGCCUUGAUGUGUAGGAUAGGUGGGAGGCUUUGAAGUGUGGACGCCAGUCUGCAUGGAGCCGACCUUGAAAUACCACCCUUUAAUGUUUGAUGUUCUAACGUUGACCCGUGAUCCGGGUUGCGGACAGUGUCUGGUGGGUAGUUUGACUGGGGCGGUCUCCUCCUAAAGAGUAACGGAGGAGCACGAAGGUUGGCUAAUCCUGGUCGGACAUCAGGAGGUUAGUGCAAUGGCAUAAGCCAGCUUGACUGCGAGCGUGACGGCGCGAGCAGGUGCGAAAGCAGGUCAUAGUGAUCCGGUGGUUCUGAAUGGAAGGGCCAUCGCUCAACGGAUAAAAGGUACUCCGGGGAUAACAGGCUGAUACCGCCCAAGAGUUCAUAUCGACGGCGGUGUUUGGCACCUCGAUGUCGGCUCAUCACAUCCUGGGGCUGAAGUAGGUCCCAAGGGUAUGGCUGUUCGCCAUUUAAAGUGGUACGCGAGCUGGGUUUAGAACGUCGUGAGACAGUUCGGUCCCUAUCUGCCGUGGGCGCUGGAGAACUGAGGGGGGCUGCUCCUAGUACGAGAGGACCGGAGUGGACGCAUCACUGGUGUUCGGGUUGUCAUGCCAAUGGCACUGCCCGGUAGCUAAAUGCGGAAGAGAUAAGUGCUGAAAGCAUCUAAGCACGAAACUUGCCCCGAGAUGAGUUCUCCCUGACCCUUUAAGGGUCCUGAAGGAACGUUGAAGACGACGACGUUGAUAGGCCGGGUGUGUAAGCGCAGCGAUGCGUUGAGCUAACCGGUACUAAUGAACCGUGAGGCUUAACCUU